AGACAGCAGUAGCCGCGGGAACACCGAGGGUGCGAGCGUUAAUCGGAUUUACUGGGCGUAAAGCGUGCGUAGGCGGCUUCUUAAGUCGGAUGUGAAAUCCCUGAGCUUAACUUAGGAAUUGCAUUCGAUACUGGGAAGCUAGAGUAUGGGAGAGGAUGGUAGAAUUCCAGGUGUAGCGGUGAAAUGCGUAGAGAUCUGGAGGAAUACCGAUGGCGAAGGCAGCCAUCUGGCCUAAUACUGACGCUGAGGUACGAAAGCAUGGGGAGCAAACAGGAUUGGAUACCCCAGUAGUCCCUGUCUCUUAUAC
rnacentral:rRNA from 1 species